UGUCACUAUCCAGGCCGGGAAGGGAGUUGCCGGAGCAUUGCACAACAAUUUUUAUGUAUGUUGUGCGUGCGACAGCGACUUCCGUCCGCCUGAUACUUUAC